rnacentral:rRNA from 1 species
CCUACGGGUGGCAGCAGUGAGGAAUAUUGGUCAAUGGGCGCGAGCCUGAACCAGCCAAGUAGCGUGAAGGAUGACUGCCCUAUGGUUUGUAAACUUCUUUUAUAAAGGAAUAAAGUGCGGCACGCGUGCCUUUUUGCAUGUAUUUUAUGAAUAAGGAUCGGCUAACUCCGUGCCAGCAGCCGCGGUAAUACGGAGGAUCCGAGCGUUAUCCGGAUUUAUUGGGUUUAAAGGGAGCGUAGAUGGUUUGUUAAGUCAGUUGUGAAAGUUUGUGGUUCAACCGUAAAAUUGCCAUUGAUACUGGAAGCCUUGAGUAUGGUUGAGGCAGGCGGAAUGCGUGGUGUAGCGGUGAAAUGCUUAGAUAUCACGCAGAACUCCGAGUGCGAAGGCAGCCUACUAAGCUGUCACUGACAUUGAUGCUCGAAAGUGUGGGUAUCAAACAGGAUUAGAUACCCGAGUAGUC